rnacentral:tRNA from 1 species
GGUAUCGCCAAGCUGGUUAAGGCAUCGGAUUCUGAAUCCGACAUGCGUAGGUUCGAAUCCUACUACCC